AACGAACGCUGGCGGCAGGCCUAACACAUGCAAGUCGAGCGAGGACUCCGGUCCUAGCGGCGGACGGGUGUGUCACGCGUGGGAACGGGCACUUUGCUUCGGAAUAGCCCUGGGAAACGGGGAGUAACACCGGAUGAGCCCUGUUGGGGAAGGAUUUAUCGUGGUAGGAUCGGCAGGCGUUGGAUGAGGUGGGUGGGGGGGUAAUAGCCUACCAAGGCGAGGAUCCAUAGCUGGGUUGAGAGGAUGGGCAGCCACACUGGGACUGAGACCCGGCCCAGACUCCUACGCGAGGCAGCAGUGGGGAAUCUUAGAAAAUGGGGGGAGUCAUGAUCGAGCCAUGCUGGGUGAGCGAUGAAGGCCUUAGGGUUGUAAAGCUCUUUCAGCUGCGAAGAUAAUGACGGUACCAGAAGAAGAAGCCCCGGCUAACUCCGUG
rnacentral:rRNA from 1 species